rnacentral:rRNA from 1 species
AAAUUGAAGAGUUUGAUCAUGGCUCAGAUUGAACGCUGGCGGCAGGCCUAACACAUGCAAGUCGAGCGGUAGCACAGAGAGCUUGCUCUCGGGUGACGAGCGGCGGACGGGUGAGUAAUGUCUGGGAAACUGCCUGAUGGAGGGGGAUAACUACUGGAAACGGUAGCUAAUACCGCAUAACGUCGCAAGACCAAAGUGGGGGACCUUCGGGCCUCAUGCCAUCAGAUGUGCCCAGAUGGGAUUAGCUAGUAGGUGGGGUAACGGCUCACCUAGGCGACGAUCCCUAGCUGGUCUGAGAGGAUGACCAGCCACACUGGAACUGAGACACGGUCCAGACUCCUACGGGAGGCAGCAGUGGGGAAUAUUGCACAAUGGGCGCAAGCCUGAUGCAGCCAUGCCGCGUGUGUGAAGAAGGCCUUCGG